rnacentral:lncRNA from 1 species
CCGAUCGGAAAGAGAAGCAACUAGAAGGUUUUGAGGUGCAGAAACCAUCGAAGAAACAGAGGAAGAAGAGCAAUUAAAGGACUUAACAAACAUAUUAGUAGUCUAUUUUGGUGCACCAAUCGUAUGGGAUUCGGUGUUAAGUCAGUCAUCCAAAUUAGUAUAUAUUUUAUAUUUUUCAUGUGCAGAAGAUAGGGAUAUGUUUGUAGAUUUGCUAUUGCCUAUCAUUUUUUGAUCUUUCAACAAGUAGGAUGGGAAGGGGAUCAAAAUCUUGAAUUGCAAAGGUUCUUAAAAGGUUGAAAUUGAUUC